UACGUAGGGGGCAAGCGUUGUCCGGAAUUAUUGGGCGUAAAGAGCGUGUAGGCGGCCAAGCAGGUCCGCUGUGAAAACUCGAGGCUCAACCUCGAGAGGUCGGUGGAAACCGUUUGGCUAGAGUCCGGAAGAGGAGAGUGGAAUUCCCGGUGUAGCGGUGAAAUGCGCAGAUAUCGGGAAGAACACCCGUGGCGAAGGCGGCUCUCUGGGACGGUACUGACGCUGAGACGCGAAAGCGUGGGGAGCGAACAGG
rnacentral:rRNA from 1 species